rnacentral:rRNA from 1 species
UGGGGAAUUUUUCGCAAUGGGGGAAACCCUGACGAAGCAACGCCGCGUGGAGGAUGAAGGCCUUCGGGUCGUAAACUCCUGUCGACUGGGAAGAAUGCACCUGACCUAAUACGUCAAAGUGUUGACUGUACCGGUGGAGGAAGCCACGGCUAACUCUGUGCCAGCAGCCGCGGUAAUACAGAGGUGGCAAGCGUUGUUCGGAAUUACUGGGCGUAAAGGGCGCGUAGGCGGCCCGCCAAGUCCCGUGUGAAAUCCCCCGGCUCAACCGGGGAACGGCGCGGGAAACUAGCAGGCUUGAGUUCGGGAGAGGGAAGCGGAAUUCCGGGUGUAGCGGUGAAAUGCGCAGAUAUCCGGAGGAACACCGGUGGCGAAGGCGGCUUCCUGGACCGACACUGACGCUGAGGCGCGAAAGCUAGGGGAGCAAACGGG